GGUCAGUAGGUUGGUCGUGCCACCGGUACGUACUGGUCUCACUGAUUCCUCCUUCCUGAAGAACCGUAAUGCCAUUAAUUUGGUGUUGCGGGGAAACAGGACUGUUACUUUGAAAAAAUUAGAGUGUUUAAAGCAAGCUAACGCUUGAAUACAUUAGCAUGGAAUAGUGAAAUAGGACGAUCGAUCCUAUUUUGUUGGUUUCUAGGAUUGACGUA
rnacentral:rRNA from 1 species